rfam:Stereum hirsutum FP-91666 SS1 unplaced genomic scaffold STEHIscaffold_12, whole genome shotgun sequence.
UCCCUGGUAGUAUAUCGGAUUAGUACACGCGCCUGUCACGCGCGAGAGCGGGGUUCGACUCCCCGCCAGGGAG